AUUUAUUUACUGUUAUCCCUUCCUUUAAACCAUGCUAUUUUGCAGCAAGAUAAUGGAUGGAACACCACUGUGAGGAAAGGAGAUGGUUAUAUUAGGUAAGAAAAAAUCCAAGAAAUGGAUGCAAGUAUGUUAUCUCGAUGCAUCAAAAUCAAGAGAUGAAGCUGCUAAUCAAAUCAACUAUCUGAUCUUUCACACA